GACGAACGCUGGCGGCGUGCCUAACACAUGCAAGUCGAGCGAGUGGAGUUCUUCGGAACAAAGCUAGCGGCGGACGGGUGAGUAACACGUGGGCAACCUGCCUCAUAGAGGGGAAUAGCCUCCCGAAAGGGAGAUUAAUACCGCAUAAGAUUGUAGCUUCGCAUGAAGUAGCAAUUAAAGGAGCAAUCCGCUAUGAGAUGGGCCCGCGGCGCAUUAGCUAGUUGGUGAGGUAACGGCUCACCAAGGCCACGAUGCAUAGCCGACCUGAGAGGGUGAUCGGCCACACUGGGACUGAGACACGGCCCAG
rnacentral:rRNA from 1 species